AACCAUAGAAACCUGCGGAGUACCUGCGGAAGGAUCAUUACAGAGUUGCAAAACUCCCACAAACCAUCGCGAAUCUUACCCGUACGGUUGUCUCGGCGCUGGCGGUCCGGAAGGCCCUCGGGCCCCCGGACCCUCGGGUCCCCCGCUCGCGGGGGGCUGCCCGCCGGAGUGCCGAAACCAAACUCUUGAUAUUUUAUGUCUCUCUGAGUAAACUUUUAAAUAAGUCAAAACUUUCAACAA
rnacentral:misc_RNA from 1 species